ACUUCUCAAUCCAGCUAGUUUUUGCGAACUAUUGUUGGCAUUGGAUUUGGGCUUUGCUGCGUCAAAUGCAGCUGGCCUUAAAGUUAUUAGCUGAAUCUUGUCUAAUGAAGGACUGGUUUGACUCGGCGUGAUAAUUAUCUGACCGCUGAGGACAUCGUAAGAUGGCCAGACUUUUUGACUGAGAGUCGCUUCUAAUCGUCGGAUUCUUAUCUGACAUGAAGAAAUUUACACUUCACCCCU
rnacentral:misc_RNA from 1 species